rnacentral:rRNA from 1 species
CAAUAGCGUAUAUUAAAGUUGUUGCGGUUAAAAAGCUCGUAGUUGGAUUUCUGUUGAGGACGGCCGGUCCGCACUAUGUGCGUGUAUCUGGUUCGGCCUUGGCAUCCUCUUGAGGAACGUUCCUGCGCUUGAUUGCGUGGGGCGGUAUUCAAGACUUUUACUUUGAGGAAAUUAGAGUGUUCACGGCAGGCAAGCGCCUUGAAUACAUUAGCAUGGAAUAAUAAUAUAGGAUCUUGGUUCUAUUUGUUGGUUUCUAGGGCUAAGGUAAUGAUUAAUAGGGAUAAUUGGGGGCAUUUGUAUUAACGCGUCAGAGGUGGAAUUCUUGGAUUGCGUUACGACAAACUACUGCGAAAGCAUUUGCCAAGGAUGUUUUCAUUGA